GAAAGAAAGGAAAGUGGCCUCUAUACAAAGCUAUCGCCGAAGAGGGGUUUUGCGUCUGAUUAGCUGGUUGGAGGGGUAACGGCCCAACAAGCGAUGAUCAGUAGCCGGUCUGAGAGGAUGAACGGCCACAUUGGGACUGAGACACGGCCCAGACUCCUACGGGAGGCAGCAGUGGGGAAUCUUCCGCAAUGGACGAAAGUCUGACGGAGCAACGCCGCGUGAGUGAAGAAGGUCUUCGGAUUGUAAAGCUCUGUUAUACGGGACGAAAAAGACGGAUGCCAACAGUAUCCGUCCGUGACGGUACCGUAAGAGAAAGCCACGGCUAACUACGUGCCAGCAGCCGCGGUAAAU
rnacentral:rRNA from 1 species